GACGUAGGGGGCAAGCGUUGUCCGGAUUUAUUGGGCGUAAAGAGCUCGUAGGCGGUUCGAUAAGUCGGGUGUGAAAACUCUGGGCUCAACUCAGAGACGCCACCCGAUACUGUUGUGACUUGAGUCCGGUAGGGGAGUAUGGAAUUCCCGGUGUAGCGGUGAAAUGCGCAGAUAUCGGGAGGAACACCAGUGGCGAAGGCGGUACUCUGGGCCGGAACUGACGCUGAGGAGCGAAAGCGUGGGGAGCAAACAGG
rnacentral:rRNA from 1 species